rnacentral:rRNA from 1 species
AUUGAACGCUGGCGGCAUGGCUUACACAUGCAAGUCGAACGGCAGCACGGGAGCAAUCCUGGUGGCGAGUGGCGAACGGGUGAGUAAAGUAUCGGAACGUGCCCAGCCGUGGGGGAUAACGUAGCGAAAGUUACGCUAAUACCGCAUACGAUCCAUGGAUGAAAGCGGGGGAUCGCAAGACCUCGCGCGCUUGGAGCGGCCGAUAUCAGAUGAGGUAGUUGGUGGGGUAAAGGCUCACCAAGCCGAUGAUCUGUAGCUGGUCUGAGAGGACGACCAGCCACCCUGGGACUGAGACACGGCCCAGACUCCUACGGGAGGCAGCAGUGGGGAAUUGUGGACAAUGGGCGAAAGCCUGAUCCAGCCAUGCCGCGUGCAGGAUGAAGGCCUUCGGGUUGUAAACUGCUUUUGUACGGAACGAAAAGGUUUGGCCUAAUAAGCUGAGCUCAUGACGGUACCGUAAGAAUAAGCACCGGCUAACUACGUGCCAGCCGCCGCGGUAA